rnacentral:rRNA from 1 species
CCUACGGGAGGCAGCAGUGGGGAAUAUUGGGCAAUGGGCGCAAGCCUGACCCAGCAACGCCGCGUGAAGGAAGAAGGCUUUCGGGUUGUAAACUUCUUUUCUCAGGGACGAAGCAAGUGACGGUACCUGAGGAAUAAGCCACGGCUAACUACGGGCCAGCAGCCGCGGUAAUACGGGGGUGGCAAGCGUUCUCCGGAUUUACUGGGUGUAAAGGGCGUGGAGGCGGGAAAGCAAGUCAGAUGUGAAAACCAUGGGCUCAACCUGUGGCCUGCAUUUGAAACUGUUUUGCUUGAGUACUGGAGAGGCAGACGGAAUUCCUGGUGUAGCGGUGAAAUGCGUAGAUAUGAGGAGGAACACCAGUGGCGAAGGCGGUCUGCUGGACAGCAACUGACGCUGAGGAGCGAAAGCGUGGGGAGCAAACAGGAUUAGAUACCCGAGUAGUC